GACGAACGCUGGCGGCGCGCCUAACACAUGCAAGUCGAACGGAGUGUUAAGAGCUUGCUUUUAACACUUAGUGGCGAACGGGUGAGUAACGCGUGAGCAAUCUGCCUCAGAGUGGGGGACAACAGUUGGAAACAGCUGCUAAUACCGCAUAAGCCCACAGCACCGCAUGGUGCAGCGGGAAAAGAUUUAUCGCUUUGAGAUGAGCUCGCGUCCGAUUAGCUAGUUGGUGAGGUAACGGCCCACCAAGGCGACGAUCGGUAGCCGGACUGAGAGGUUGAUCGGCCACAUUGGGACUGAGACACGGCCCAGACUCCUACGGGAGGCAGCAGUGGGGAAUAUUGCACAAUGGGGGAAACCCUGAUGCAGCGACGCCGCGUGGAGGAAGAAGGUCUUCGGAUUGUAAACUCCUGUUGUAAGGGACGAUAAUGACGGUACCUUACAAGAAAGUGACGGCUAACUACGUGCCAGCAGCCGCGGUAAAACGUAGGUCACAAGCGUUGUCCGGGAAUUACUGGGUGUAAAGGGAGCGCAGGCGGGAAGGUAAGUUGGAAGUGAAAUCUACGGGCUCAACCCGUAAAUUGCUUUCAAAACUGCUUUUCUUGAGUGGUGCAGAGGUAGGCGGAAUUCCCGGUGUAGCGGUGGAAUGCGUAGAUAUCGGGAGGAACACCAGUGGCGAAGGCGGCCUACUGGGCACUAACUGACGCUGAGGCUCGAAAGUGUGGGUAGCAAACAGGAUUAGAUACCCUGGUAGUCCACACUGUAAACGAUGAUUACUAGGUGUUGGAGGAUUGACCCCUUCAGUGCCGCAGUUAACACAUUAAGUAAUCCACCUGGGGAGUACGACCGCAAGGUUGAAACUCAAAGGAAUUGACGGGGGCCCGCACAAGCAGUGGAGUAUGUGGUUUAAUUCGACGCAACGCGAAGAACCUUACCAGGAUUUGACAUCCAACUAACGAAGUAGAGAUACAUUAGGUGCCCUUCGGGGAAAGUUGAGACAGGUGGUGCAUGGUUGUCGUCAGCUCGUGUCGUGAGAUGUUGGGUUAAGUCCCGCAACGAGCGCAACCCCUAUUGUUAGUUGCUACGAAAGAGCACUCUAGCGAGACUGCCGUUGACAAAACGGAGGAAGGUGGGGACGACGUCAAAUCAUCAUGCCCCUUAUGUCCUGGGCUACACACGUAAUACAAUGGUGAUAAACAGAGGGAAGCAAUACCGCGAGGUGGAGCAAAUCCCUAAAAGUCAUCUCAGUUCGGAUUACAGGCUGCAACUCGCCUGUAUGAAGCUGGAAUCGCUAGUAAUCGCGGAUCAGAAUGCCGCGGUGAAUACGUUCCCGGGCCU
rnacentral:rRNA from 1 species